rnacentral:lncRNA from 1 species
GGAGAAGUCAGCUGUUUAAGAACCAGGAAGUGUGUUUUCACCAGACACUCAAUCUAACGGCACCUUGAUCUUGAACUUCCAGCCUUCAGAACUGUGAGAAAUACAUUUCUGUUGUUUAUAAGCCACUCAGUCUACGGUAUUUUUGUUACCGCAGCUUGAAUGGACUAAGACAGGACACUAUUGAGCAUCUCUCCUGAGAUGAUGGUCUAGCUUAAAUUGGAAACGUCGAAGGAAAGAAAGUACAGUAUGAUCAAAUGCUUGUGCUUUUUGGUCUACUUUCACUGCUGAAUGCAAUCAGACACUAAGUCCUGGUGCUUUGAGGAGGCGGGGUUCUGCCAAUGUAAACCGGGGGGCAACAAAGCUCAAGGAGCACCUGACAUUUCUACAUCCCCAAAUAGAUCUCAGACAGUGUGGAUGAAUGAGAAGAAUGCUGUUUCAGAAAUACUAAAAUCUCAUCAAACGGAUUCAUCUCAAAUGAAGAGACUUAUUUUGAAGCGUCUUGAAAGACUGUUCAUCCUAUUGCCAAGCCAAGGAAUCCCCAUAUGAUUGGAGAGACCUUGGCAAAAGCACAUGCCCUGAAAUUCAACUAUUUGGGGCCUUGAAGCUGAGAUGGAAUAUUUCAGUUGAUGUCACCCACUCCAAAAUGUAUAAUGUCCCUUUCUGAUAUUUUGAAGCAAACCUUCGAAUAAUUGAAAGUGAUAACAUUUCUCUUUGGCAUGGAAAAGAAUGAAACUAUAAACAUUUCUCUGUGACUUUCUGGGUUUUGUCUUUUAUUUGCAUACUGACCAAUGACAUCAGAGAAAAAACCCUGUUUUCUGAGCCCAUUUUUGAAAAUAUAGAUACCACUAACUUCUUUAAAACUGUGGAAAGUCUUUGCCCAGCAAGCUUUGACGGAACGAGAACUCAUCUCGGGUUCUAGGAGGCACCUCUGGAACCUCAGUAACCCAUCUGCUCACACUGCCUUGUGGAAGGAAGCAGCUCUGUGUGUCAGCCGCGGGCAUCGUGCCAGAGACCCUGCGAACAGCCUUGUCUAAGUGUGAAUAUCUUUAUCUUCCUCCAAACUAGGGCCUUGAAUCACCAUCUUUUCAAGAGGCUUUGUCAGAUAACAGGAGCAGAAUAUUAUCAACCGCACGGAAUAAGACAGGUCAUGAAGUGCUUAUUGAACUUGAAGCAGAACUUUGCGUGGGUCCUUAAGAGACAAAGAAAAGGAAAGCCAAUUCUCCAAGCAAUUCUACUGGGAGGAGCUCGCUCACAGUUUGGUUUAUUAGGCACAUAGUUCUGGUCAUUCUGAAUGAGGUAAAUCUUUCAGUUCAAGGUCCUGGAGUCAUCAACCUCAAUCUUCUGAAAAACAAAACAAAAAAGUACAAGCUCUUUUGGCCAAGCAUACACACUUGGAAGAAUAACUUAGAGAGACAAAACCUCAAACUUUCCAUCACUGAAGGAAAUGCUUCUACAGGCUGGAAUUGAGAGUGACAAAGAAGAAGCUUUCUUGAUUUCUUUGCAGUCAGAAAACUGUAGCAACCUGAAAGCCCUCAGAACACUUUUGAGCAUUACUUCUGCUCAAAUAAUCUUCAAGUGGAAAGUGAAUCUGUAAUCCUUUCCUUGUUGACACAGAUGGCAGUGAUGAAGCAGACCUUGCCAAAUAUGACUUCAUGGACUUGAGGACAAAGGAAAUGAAGUAACAAGAAUUCAACUUGAAGAGUUGUAGAGAAUCCUACAGCUAGAAGACUUGUAGGUGUCCUUGAUCCAAACCCAUUCUUAGCUGGCCACUGAUUCUAUUUGUUACCACAGACUUUACUGGGUCAGGGUUUUGACAAGAGAUUUUCACAUUUUGAGGUAUAUGGGGUAACUAUUCAGGUUCAAAACUGAUUUGGCUUGAGCUAAAGAAGCCUUACUUAUGGCCUGUCAAACAUACAUUAGCCAUCUACUUUAACCAUUGAAGUAAAGAACGUGCUCUCUUAAGAUAAGAAUGCAUACUUCCCCUUCUACCCCUUUUGGUAACCCCCAUAUUAGUCCCCUUCCCAACAUCAGGAUCAUGUUGACCUGCUAAUUUGCCACUGAAUACCUCUUUGAAAUUUUGAUGAAUAUGUAUCCUGGGCAUGUGUUUUUUUUGCUGGGAAAGAUUUGCCCUCAGCUAACAUCUGUUGCCAAUCUUCCUCAUUUUUUCUUUUCCCUCCCCAAAGCCCCAGUACAUAGUUGUAUAUUCUACUUGUAGGUCCUAUUCGUUCUUCUAUGUGAGCCCUCACCACAGCAUGGCUCCUGACAGACAAGCGGUGUGGUUCCAUGCCUGGGAACUGAAUGCAGGCCACCAAAGUGGAUUGUGCCAAACUUUAACCACUAGGCCUUCAGGGCUGGCUCCUGGGCAUGUUUAACGUAUGUUCUUUGUUCUAAAGAGAUAUAAGACUGUACCAAAAACCAGGCUUCUCUGGAAUACUUCUUUCCUUUCUGGAAAAAGCCUUCCCAAGUUAUAAUCCCCACUCUGGCUCAAGUAAAAAUCACGUAUAUCUCUUACCUAUGGAAUGGUUGUUCAUUAUUUUGCUUUGACAUUUCCAACCCUUAUUUCUAUCAAAGGAAAAGUUAAAAUCAAUUGUAUGAUGAUGUUUGUCUUAUCUUUUCAAAAACCACAUAACUUCAUAUUAAACCAAAGGAGCCUCCCUGGAGGCAGUUACAGGAAAGUAGCUGUGGUAGGCAGAAUUCAAAGAUGGUCCCCAAGUAUCCCAACCCUGGGAUACACAGCUUGUAUAAUCUCCUCCCCUUGUGCAGGCAGAACCUAUGAAUAUGAUAGGUUAUCACUCUUGUGAUUAGGUUUCUAAUCAGUUGUCUUUGAGUUAAUCCAAAGGGACAUGGUCCAGCUGACCAGGAUCUAAUGAGGUGAGUCCUUAAAACGGGCUGAGUCCCUUAGGAAGUCAGAGACAUAUGCUACUAUUGGCCUGGAAGCAAGCAAACCUCCAUGCCAGGAACCGCCAAUGGAGGCCACAUGGCAAGGAACUUAGGGCAGUAUCCAGGACUGAGAGUAGUCCCCAGCCAACAGCUAGCAAGAAAAUGGGGAUCUCAGACCUGUAAUCAAAAUUCUGCCAACAAUCUGCAUGGGCCUUGAAGGGUACCCCAAGCCUUAGGUGACAACUGAGCGCCCUCAGCUUCACUGUGCUCAGACUUGUGACCACAGAAACCUUGAAAUAAUAAAUGAGUGCUGGUUUCUUUUUUUUUUCCCCCCAAAAAAAACCAAUGAACAAAAUGGACAAACAAAAUAAAGCAAAGGAGCAGCAUCUUUUUUAUUAAA